AGAUGCGAUCAUACCAGCACUAAAGCACCGGAUCCCAUCAGAACUCCGAAGUUAAGCGUGCUUGGGCGAGAGUAGUACUAGGAUGGGUUCCCUCCUGGGAAGUCCUCGUGUUGCAUUCC
rnacentral:rRNA from 1 species